rnacentral:lncRNA from 1 species
GUGGAAUGGGAGGAGGUCGCGCUGUCCAUGGGCGUCCUUGGCCUGCGCCACCCAGAGAUGAUAAAUAGCCAAAGACGUCAAUGGCACCCAUGGACAUAGUAAGCAUAGUAGGAGCUGAAAAACUAGAAGCAAUGACAAUGUCAACUAUUUUGAGCAAAAAGAAGCAGUGUCUUCGGAACAUUUGAUCAUAAAACCAGACAUUAAAGGAUGAGAAAAACAUUUUUCUGAAGCUGAUACUUUCACAUUUCCUACAGAGCAUAUUUGUAUGGAUGGGGGUGGGUAAACACUCAACAAAAGUUUCUUUAAAAAGAAGAAACCAUCCUGGUUUGAUGUAAUCAACAGUUGCCCACUGCUCCCUUCCUGUGCCUAUGACCCUUCCCAAACUGCCCUGUUGCUUGCAGGCUUGCCUGAGCUGAAAGGCAGCCCUCACACCCCAUCGGUACCUCCCUGGGGCCUUCUUUACACCCUGGAGAACUUCAUAGGGAAUCUGUAUCUGUAACACAAAGGCUUCCUGGUCCAGAUGUAGAUACUAAGGCUGACUGGUUAUUUAAGUCCUGUGGACUUACUCUGCCAAAAUUAUUUAAUCAUGUAAAAAUAAUUUAUAAUUCUUAUAAAGUAUCCCCUUCAUAAGAUAAUGAAUGUUGGGGUUAUUGCAUUUAAGUGCACAUGUACAGUAUACAAGAUUAUUAAUAAUAAUGUUUUCAAAUAGUUAUUGUCAAAGCUAUUUUUCUUAUGUUUAUGAAAGUGCUUAUAAAAUUCAUGUUUUAUGAGGCUGGAGAUGUGUAUUUUGUAAUUUCAUUCUGAUAUUUGUUAAUAUUCACUUCCAAUGCUCGUUUUGGUUGAUGAGACUGACAUUGCCUAAUUUCAAGCUUUUUGAAUGUGUAUUCUUUCAGGGCAAGUAUGAAAUAACUAGUAAAAAAUAUACAAAUAUGCUUAACAAUAAGUAGACUUUCUCACAUUGAUUACUUACAACAGCUUUAUGUGGGGUGAAUCAGAUGCCUGUAUUACAGAAGCAUCUAAUGCAAAGCAAAAUAAAAACACUUGCAUGAGCGCACAGAGGUAGGUGUGGAAGAAAGUGAAACACUAUUUUAGGUUUUAGUUACACUCUGCUGUGGUGUGCUGCCUAGUAUUUGCAUUAACCUGCAAAUACUAGGGGUUAUGAAUUGUUUCUAAGUCUAUUAUUAAAAAUAGCCUUGCUUCAUUUCUUCCUAAAAUGGAGACAAAUAUGUAUAGUGUCUGUGUUACCA